UACGUAGGGCGCAAGCGUUGUCCGGAAUUAUUGGGCGUAAAGAGCUCGUAGGCGGUUUGUCGCGUCUGCCGUGAAAGCUUGGGGCUUAACCCCAAGUCUGCGGUGGAUACGGGCAGACUAGAGGCAGGUAGGGGAGAACGGAAUUCCCGGUGUGGCGGUGAAAUGCGCAGAUAUCGGGAGGAACACCGGUGGCGAAGGCGGUUCUCUGGGCCUGUACUGACGCUGAGGAGCGAAAGCGUGGGGAGCGAACAGG
rnacentral:rRNA from 1 species